rnacentral:rRNA from 1 species
GUAGUUUGACUGGGGCGGUCGCCUCCGAAAAGGUAACGGAGGCGCCCAAAGGUUCCCUCAGGCUGAAUGGAAACCAGCCGCAGAGUGUAAAGGCACAAGGGAGCUUGACUGCAAGACCAACGCGUCGAGCAGAGUCGAAAGACGGGCUUAGUGAUCCCACGGUACCGUGUGGAAGGGCCGUGGCUUACCGGAUAAAAGCUACCCCGGGGAUAACAGGCUGGUCUCCCCCAAGAGUUCACAUCGACGGGGAGGCUCGGCACCUCGAUGUCGGCUCAUCGCAUCCUGGGGCCGGAUAAGGUCCCAAGGGUUGGGCUGUUCGCCCAUUAAAGCGGUACGUGAGCUGGGUUCAGACCGUCGUGAGACAGGUCGGUCUCUAUCCGCUGUGGGCGCAAGGGAUUUGAGGGGAGCUGCCCCUAGUACGAGAGGACCGGGGUGGACAGACCUCUGGUGUGCCAGUUGUUCCGCCAGGAGCAUCGCUGGGUAGCUAUGUCUGGCAGAGAUAACCGCUGAAAGCAUCUAAGUGGGAAACUCGCCCCAAGAUUAGAUCCCUCAUCCCGUUAAGGGAGUAAGGCCGCAGGAAGACCACCUGCUUGAUAGGCGGCAAGUGUAAGUCCCGCAAGGGAUUCAGCUAAGCCGUACUAAUGGCCGAGGGCUUAACGUG